rnacentral:rRNA from 1 species
UACGAAGGGUGCAAGCGUUACUCGGAAUUACUGGGCGUAAAGCGUGCGCAGGCGGUUCGUUGUGUCGGUGGUGAAAGCCCCGGGCUUAACCUGGGAAUGGCCAUGGAAACUGGCGAACUGGAGUGUGGCAGAGGGGGGUGGAAUUCCGCGUGUAGCAGUGAAAUGCGUAGAGAUGCGGAGGAACACCGAUGGCGAAGGCAGCCCCCUGGGCUAGCACUGACGCUCAGGCACGAAAGCGUGGGGAGCGAACAGG